UUUCCUUCCCUCGCCUCUCCCUUCCCCUCCCCCCUCCCGUCCCCACCCCCUCGGCCGCUCGGCUCCCUGGCGUGACUCGGCACUGAGAGUCCCGGAGAAGACGCUGCGGUCGGUACCUCCUGUGUUCAGGCCUUGGCCUUUCCGAGCCUCUCCCCUUCCUCUCCCGAGUCUUCUUCAGUUUUGAAGCCGGUGGCGUCGCGGCCGCCCUGCCGGGCUGAGAAUGGUGGGAGUGAAGCCGGUCGGGAGCGACCCAGAUUUCCAGCCAGAGCUGAGCGGCGCGGGCUCCAGACUCGCCGUGGUCAAGUUCACCAUGCGAGGGUGUGGACCGUGUUUAAGGAUUGCCCCAGCAUUCAGUUCUAUGAGUAAUAAGUAUCCACAGGCAGUUUUCUUGGAAGUUGAUGUACAUCAGUGUCAGGGAACAGCUGCCACCAACAAUAUAUCAGCAACACCUACAUUUCUGUUUUUUCGAAACAAAGUGAGAAUUGAUCAAUAUCAAGGAGCAGAUGCUGUUGGAUUAGAAGAAAAAAUCAAGCAGCACUUAGAAAAUGACCCUGGAAGCAAUGAGGACACAGAUAUUCCAAAAGGCUAUAUGGAUUUAAUGCCUUUUAUUAACAAAGCUGGUUGUGAAUGUCUUAAUGAAAGUGAUGAGCAUGGAUUUGACAACUGUUUGAGAAAAGAUAUGACCUUCUUGGAAUCUGAUUGUGAUGAACAGCUGCUUAUUACUGUGGCAUUUAAUCAACCUGUUAAGCUUUAUUCAAUGAAAUUUCAAGGGCCAGAUAAUGGUCAGGGUCCUAAAUAUGUAAAAAUUUUUAUCAAUCUACCCCGAUCUAUGGAUUUUGAAGAAGCAGAAAGAAGUGAACCAACUCAAGCUCUGGAACUAACAGAGGAUGAUAUUAAAGAAGAUGGCAUUGUCCCACUUCGUUAUGUUAAGUUUCAGAAUGUUAACAGUGUAACUAUAUUUGUUCAGUCCAAUCAAGGUGAAGAAGAAACAACAAGAAUUUCGUAUUUUACUUUUAUUGGUACUCCAGUCCAGGCAACAAAUAUGAAUGACUUCAAACGAGUAGUUGGCAAAAAAGGAGAAAGCCACUAAGGUACAAAAGACACUGGAAGACCAUAUUGCAAUCAGAUCUACAGCUCCUGGAUAAUUGCUUGAUUCUCAUCAGAGACUGUCAAUAUUCCAUUCAUUGCCAUUACCAAUAAAUCAUUGCUUUUGUUAAAAAUGAAUUGGCCAAAUAGUAUGUUUGAAAGGUGUUUCGCAAAAGGCUAGCAAAACAAAACAUCUGUUCCUUACUACUAUUUUUAAUCUUAAAACUAAUCUAGAAAGUAUUAGUAAAUUUAAUUUUUUAAUUUCUCUAUUUUUAAAAUUAAAAUUUAACUUUAAUUUCUCUGAAUAUUAAAAAUUCAGUGUUUGAAAAGAGUACUUAGACUAUUAAUUUUGAUUUAGUUAAUACCUUUGAGGGCAUUUUUGUCUAGGAAUAUGGUUGAGAUAGCAUUUUUGCCUGUGGGAGACUAAUGUAUUUAUACGCAUUUAUGGAAAAGAUUAUGCAUAAGUUUUGUGUUAAAAUAGUCAUUUUCUAAAAUGCCCAGUGUUUUUACAUGGUGUUUAGUUCUUCUCUAUGUAAGCACACUAACUGGUCUGUGAUGAUGUCUAUAUACUUAUGUAUUUCAUAGUUACUUGCCUUGGGUCAACUGGAGGGGGAAGGGCAAGAAAUAAAAGUUCGUAACAUUCCUUAAUAUAGACCAUCUCAGAUUAAUUACGUCUGAAAUUAGGGGUACGAUUAAUACCAUGAGUUUUGUUUUACACUUUUGUACACUUAACCUUUUUUGGGUAAUUGUCAAAGUGCCUCAUCUUAAGUAUUGCUGACCUCAUCCUAUUUAUACUUGACAGUUUGAAAACCCAUUGAAAGUAAUUUCGUAUGUGUAAAGGAUUGGGCAUCAGAUUUAUAUUGUUUAUGUGACUUUUCUAUAACUCAACUGGUUGCAUUAUACAAACAUUCCAUGAUUACUCAAAUUGUAAAUAGUGAAAAAUGAAUGUUUGUAGGUAACUAUAACAUGUUUCACUAUGGGAAAUUUUACAAAUAAACAUAUGUAGUUGAU